UAGGUUUUGUUCUCAUGAAAACCAGCCGACUCUUGCUAUAAAAACAGAACGCAAUUACAUGAACGGCACUAUGGAUGCUGGUCCUGUGAAGUUCUCCCACCGUUUUCAUUUAGUGAGAAACGAUUCUUCUCAAUCCUACGACCUUCUCAUUGUAAACAUCACUAAUUCAGAUGAUGGUCUCUACUACUGUGUAAAUGAACAGGGAAGAAUGGAGUAUAAAGAAUGCAUUCAUCAAACAGGUUAUGGAUAUGGCUCAACAAGGAUCACAGUUGACUCCUCUGAGCCUCAGCACUGUGAGACUCCACAAGAAUGCAGCUCAUGCUGGACUCUGCUGUUCUAUCUUUGUCCAACUUUUGGUGUUCUCUCCUCUCUCCUUUCAUCUCUGUUGGUUUAUCACCUUUGUCAUAAAACAGGCAAAGAACCUCAAGUGGAUCGACAAAGACCUGACACCAG